rnacentral:rRNA from 1 species
GACGAACGCUGGCGGCGUGCUUAACACAUGCAAGUCGAACGGAAAGGCCCUGCUUUUGUGGGGUGCUCGAGUGGCGAACGGGUGAGUAACACGUGAGUAACCUGCCCUUGACUUUGGGAUAACUUCAGGAAACUGGGGCUAAUACCGGAUAGGAGCUCCUGCUGCAUGGUGGGGGUUGGUAAGUUUCGGCGGUUGGGGAUGGACUCGCGGCUUAUCAGCUUGUUGGUGGGGUAGUGGCUUACCAAGGCUUUGACGGGUAGCCGGCCUGAGAGGGUGACCGGCCACAUUGGGACUGAGAUACGGCCCAGACUCCUACGGGAGGCAACAGUGGGGAAUAUUGCACAAUGGGCGGAAGCCUGAUGCAGCAACGCCGCGUGCGGGAUGACGGCCUUCGGGUUGUAAACCGCUUUCGCCUGUGACGAAGCGUGAGUGACGGUAAUGGGUAAAGAAGCACCGGCUAACUACGU